CUUUAAUGUUAGAGUACCUCUGGAGACAGUGUUAUUGCUUACAUCUAGAUGCCCCCCUAAAGCCUCAUGGGAUUAUAGGUGGGAACCUUUGGGAGGUGAUUGGAUUAUAGGAGCUUAUAGCUGGCUUGAUGUUAGGAGGUGGGGCCUGGUCGGAAGAGAGAGAUCACUGAGGGUGAGACUGGAACUGGCCUCUUCCUUUGAUGCUCUCUGCUUCCUGUUGGCCAUGCCAUGAGCAGCUUCUUCUCUGCGAUGCCCCUCUGCCAUGCCAUUCUCCUUUGAAGCCAAUCAACUAUGGACUGGACCCUCUACAAACUGCUCUGACCAAGCGCUGUACCACUAUGCACUACCACACUGUACAGUAAACACACAGCAGCACAACUGUGACAAUGUCCAGCAGGCACGUGAGCUACUUCCAUGAUUUGUUCGCAUCUAUAUAAUGCAAGCCCAGCUACAGAAUAACUCCAGUUUGGCCUCCGGUCACAACUGAGACUUCAGUGAUCCAGUGAUGCUGUGAUUCUCCAGGACAAGAAACAUCCUGGGAGAACAAACAUCUGCUC
rnacentral:lncRNA from 1 species